rnacentral:piRNA from 1 species
UGGCUGGAAUGUUAGAUCAGAAGGA